CGAAAGCCUGACGGAGCAAUACCGCGUGAGGGAGGAAGGCUCUUGGGUCGUAAACCUCUUUUCUCAGGGAAGAUAAUGACGGUACCUGAGGAAUCAGCAUCGGCUAACUCCGUGCCAGCAGCCGCGGUAAUACGGAGGAUGCAAGCGUUAUCCGGAAUGAUUGGGCGUAAAGCGUCCGUAGGUGGUUUUGUAAGUCCGUGGUUAAAGCGUGGAGCUUAACUCCAUAACGGCCAUGGAAACUACAAGACUAGAGUGAAGUAGGGGUAGAGGGAAUUCCCAGUGUAGCGGUGAAAUGCGUAGAGAUUGGGAAGAACACCGGUGGCGAAAGCGCUCUACUGGACUUAUACUGACACUGAGGGACGAAAGCUAGGGGAGCG
rnacentral:rRNA from 1 species